GAGUUUCUGCACAUGCUCAGUUCCGCUCCACUGUUGACAGAACAAAACUUGGUUUGGACCGCUGUGCUCCAUAGCAAAAUAAAUUUGAUGAAUUCGACAUUUGAGAGGACAGGGUGAAAACUGGUCUGAGCUGCGUCCUUGAAUCUGAGCUUCCUCUCACCAACGGUGAAAAUGAGCUGGAAAUCAGCUUAGACAUGGAGGUCGAGAGUAACAAGGAAGCACUACCACAUGGAUGGGUUAGAGAAGUGAGGCAGAGAAAAGCUGGCAAGACUGCAGGAAAACUGGACGUGUACAUAAUAAGUCCCAGUGGGCAGAGGUUCCGAUCUAAGUCAUCCUUGCAUGAUUAUCUGUUAAAAAAUGGAGGAGAGAACCUGGACAUAAACCUGUUUGAUUUCACCUCAUCCAAAACUAAGUUCACCAGCUCUGAAACAGAUCAUUCCAAAGAAACGCAAGAGAAAUGGACAAAAAAGCAAGCAAAUGGACAGCAGGAUAAAACAGGUGUAAAAGUGAAAUCUGCCAGACAUAAAUCUAAAAACAGCGUUUCCUCUACCAGAUGUAAAGUCAGGAAGAGCAAGGUAACACCUGCUGUUGAGGAUACUAAAAGUAAUACUUUGCAAGAGGACAUAGCUGAGGAGGCUGAGCAGAUUAGCUCACAAGCUGCAUCUUCAUCAGACUUGGCGGAUGAUGAUCAUACACCCCAGAGCCCCCGGAGGGUGGGACUGUUGAGGGAGAAAAUUCUGAGACUGGCUCCUUCCAGUGAUCAACAAAACACCUUCCUUCCAGCUCCCAGGAAUCAACCGGCAAACGCGCCGCCUUCGGUCCCGACUCUGAGUGUUGAAGCUGCCACUGAGAGCGAGAAUGAAAGUGAGAACGUGGCAAACACAGAUGUUGCACAGCCUCACAGCAAAGAUGACAACAAGUCUAAUUCAGAGGUAGUGGAUAAUGCUGACAGUCACAGUCACAGAGAGGAGGUGUUAUCUGACAACAGUGGUGGAAGCUGCACACCAGUUAGAGAUUCUCAUAAUAGAUCCAAGAAUGUGGAGAGCAGGCGGAAAACAAGCCCUUAUUUCAGUGCGAAAUGUCUCAAAGAUGGACUCAGCCCACCCAGGAGGAAAUCUCUCAGAAAAUGGACACCUCCCCGGUCUCCCUUCAACCUCAUACAGGAAACCCUUUUCCAUGACCCCUGGAAGCUCCUGGUGGCCACUAUUUUUCUGAAUAAGACAAGUGGGAAAAUGGCCAUUCCGGUGCUUUGGGUGUUCUUUGAGCGCUACCCAUCUGCAGAGGUGACCCGGGAGGCCGACUGGAAGCCCAUGUCUGAACUCAUGAAGCCACUUGGGCUCUAUGAGCUUCGAGCCAAAACAAUCAUCCGCUUCUCCGAUGAGUUUUUAAAUAAACAGUGGCGCUACCCUAUUGAGUUGCACGGUAUUGGCAAGUACGGGAACGACUCCUACAGGAUCUUCUGUGUUGAAGAGUGGAGGCAGGUGACUCCUGAAGAUCACAAGUUAAAUAAAUACCAUGCCUGGCUGUGGGAGAACCAUAAAACGUUGGGAAUAUGAAGAAUGUUCAACCUUGAGAAAGACUUUAUCUUCGAGCAAGAAAAUCUUCUAUUCUACAUAAUCACGGACGUUAUCUAGCCUGCAGCAGAUCAAAACAAUACACUUGCACUUUUAAAUCUGGAUCCCAUAAAAAUUAUGCAGCAAAGGUUCAAAUGUUUGCCCUUUAAAAAGUUUUAUUUCUUGUUCAAUAAAAGAGUUUUAGUCAUUUUAACAGAUGAAAGGAUUCUCUUCCUUGUUUAGUUGAAAUGUAGCUCACGCCUGGAAAUGUUCUCAGUAUUUAUCUGGUUAGUUUGUUGCCACGUGCUAAUAAUCUUUCUCUUUUGAGUCUGCUGAUGCUUGGCCACUCAGUCAGUGUUGCAGCUCUGUUUUAUUAGAGGGGUGGGAAACUCGAUUCCCAAGGAGACGGUUGCAAAAGCAAAACACUGACUGAAUGCUCUGAUUCAUCUGGGUUUAAUGUUUAACUGGGGCCAUUACAGAUAUAUGGAAAGCUCAGAUUUUUAUGUAUUCUAAUGUAAAAAGGACAUUUGCUUUAAAAGACAUAUUAUUUUAAGCUUUAGGAGUUUGGGAUGUUUCGGCACACAAAGUCUGGACUCAGGAGUUCCAGCAGAAAAGAGCAAGACCUAAAGAUGAGACUACCACCUAUCUCUAUAGUAGCUUGACCCAUUUAUGUUUCUCAAGACACUCCAAGCUUUGCUGUGACUCCAAUGACAUUACCAGUUCUCCCAGACAAUGGUAGUGUGCUAAAGAGCAGUCAGAAUAUUCAGAGGUUGGAUCCUUUGCACCCACCUUUGGUUAAUAAACGCACCGUCAGUCUUGAAACAUGCGCUGUUCACCAUCAUAACCACCAGAGGGCGCUGAUCAUGCAAAGAGGAGAGCAUUUCAGGUGGAAAGAAUGAGACCUGAGAUACACCCAGGAAUAGCUUGACUUUUGUUUUGGUUGUACUGUUAAAAAAACAACAAAACAAGAUGAAAUCAUGGUCACUGAGUUGAAGUUGUUGUGCCAGGUAUCAUCAGGUGUGGAGGAAACCAUUUUAUGGAACCAUCAGUGAGAAAGAAGAGUACAGAAAGGAGAUACGAGAGCAGCUAAAGAGGCAGAUGGAGGAGAAGUGCGUGGAACUGAAGCUGCAGCUGGCUAGUAAAGUAAAAGAAGCAGAGCAUCUCAUCGCGGCGGACCGCCUCGCCCUGUCUAGUGAGAGACAGCAGCGAAUUCAGCACACCAAAGCAAUGACAGUCUACAGAGAUGAGAACAAGAGGUUGUACUUGUUUUGUGUGCAGCUAAUGGAGCAGAGCAGGAGGGACAGAGCACUAACACAUUCCCAGGAGGCUCUGAAAGAGAGAGAGCUGCUGCGACUCAACCCCAUUAACUGGAGUGGAACACUGACAUGACUCCAAGUAGCCAAAACCUGCAAUUCAGGCUUCUUCUCAGCCACCGAGGAGCAAACCCUCAGUUUGAAAUGAAAAAGAAAAAAUAGUGAUGGAAAACAGAAAGCGUAUUAUGUGAAGGGGAAGAAACUUAAAAUAUGGGUGUAGUGUUUUGUUUUUUCAAAUAUAUAUAUAUAUGGGGAAAAAAUGUCUUGAGAUGUAAUUAUAGCUUAGCUUAUUAAAACUCAAAAUUGUGUUUCUGGAAUAUUAAAAAAAACAAUAUGAAAACAUUAAAAAAAACAAAGGUAUAUACGAGUACAUGUCCAGUACCAUACAAAAUCUCAACACUUGAUCAGGUUUCAUUUUGUGUGAAUUACUGCAUCAAAGCAACGUGGCAUGAAGACGAUCAGGCUGCAGCAGAGCUGUAAUGGAAGCCCAGGUUGCUUUAACAGCAAACUGAGCUUUUCUCCAUUGUUGGGUCUGCUCUGUCUCUCUUCCUCCUUUUGAUGCUCAAAAAUUAAAUCGGCAUUUCCUUAAAGAUCUCCCGGUGGAUUUCUGCACCGACUUUGAUCUAGAAUACAACAAACACCAGCAAGAUAACAUGGCUCCCCAGACCAACACUGAUAGGAAACUACUCACUGGACCUCAAGCCUGGGCCUUUCCAUUCUACCUCUCAGACCUUAUGUUUUUUUUUUUGUUUUUUUUUUUUUUCAAAUGAAAUGCAGGAUUCAAAAAGAAAGGAUUUGCAGCCAUCUAGUCCUUUCUCUCCUAAAGUAAGAAGCUUCUGAUGUUGUCCUCGUCUUAGGAGUGGGUGCAGACAAGCAAUGCAACAGCUGUGGCCCUGGUCCAGGAUACAUCAGUGUGAGAAAUUCAGAUUCCAGCUACAGUAUGCAUCGAAUUCUUCCAUUGCUUUGUUUCAGGGCCAUUUUCAACCAUUGUUUUAUCUUUCACACGACUUCUCAUUAACAUAUCUGCCAACACCACUCUGAAGAAUCAGUUUCUUUAAUAAGGAGCUCUUGUGACUCAUCCUCAGUGACAGCUUACUGGACUACAGUCAUGUCAGCAGUCAUCGUUGUCAUGUGUUGAGCAUAACAUGACCAUGUGUUGUUUUGCUGCAUGGCAACAAAUGCAAUAAAUCAAAUGUUAAUAUUUCUUAUAUUAAUCAUUAGAAAACAACAGCUUUCUGAUCUAAAAAGUAAAAUCUCCUUUUAUUGUAAAGCAAACACCUGUGGACGAUUCCACUCCGGGUAAAGAAGGAUCGAUAAUGGAUCAGAGGUGUUGGCGUGAUGGCUCUCCAAAAUAAUCUCUGAAUUACAGCUGAAUGUUUGCAUUGAUAAUACAAACAACUAAAUAUUCACAAACAUAAAUAUAGCUUUAAAAAAAACAGGCAACAGUAAUUGGCUUGAGUCAUCCAGAUUACACUCACACACUCCUUUUACAUUUAAAUAAAUAAUCCAGCAGCUAAAAAAAAAAAAAGUAAAAAACAAUCAUGCUAAAGUAAACAAUAAAUUAAAACAGUGCAGUACUUCUGAUUUCAAAUGAACAUAACAUGCAUUGUGGCACACACAUUCACAGAGGAAGAGGUAUAUAAAGUCAUUCAGUGAAAAACAAAAA